rnacentral:lncRNA from 10 species
GCCAUUAGGCAGCUUUUGUGCUACUAUAAAGUAAUACCUGAGAUUGGGUAAUUUAUAAAGAAAAGAGGUUUAAUUGGUUCAUUGUUCUGCAGGCUGUGCAGGAAGCAUGGUGCCAGCAUUUGCUUCUGGUGAGGGACUCAGGAAGCUUGCAAUCAUGGUGGAAGGCAAAGGGGGAGCAGAUGAAUUACAUGGACUUGGGUCAUUGGUAAAAGUCUAGUCCCAGGAUACAAUGAGCUGAAGUGGUAACCAGUGCACAGUGGACCUGCUUUGCAGCUUGGGCAUGCCACGCAAAUGAACAGGACUUAUCAUUUGUUCCCUUGAUUGCUCUGAGACUGAGUAAAGUUACUCAGUUUCCUGAUGCCAAGGUUGCAACUGAAAUAUCCUGUAGGAGCGAAAGAGGUCCGUCAUGCUUUCCACAGCACAUCAGGCAAUCCAUCCAAUCACAGCAACAACACCAAAAAUGAUCCCCUCUGCUCUCAGGUACUUUAAUUUGAAAAAUGGAGUUUUGGCUGGGUGUGGUGCCUCAUGCCUGUAAUCCCAGCGCUUUGGGAGGCUGACGUGGGAAGAUCAUUACUUGAGCCCAGAAGUUUGAGACCAGCCUGAGCAACAUAUCAAGACCUUGUCUCCACACACAAAAAUUAGCCUGGCAUGAUGGCGGGCGCCUGUAAUCCCAGCUACUCGGGAGGCUGACGCAGGAGAACUGCUUGAACCCAGGAGGCGGAGGUUUCAGUGAGCCGAGAUUGAGUCAUUGCACUCUAGCCUGGGCGACAGAGCAAGACUCCAUCUCAAAAACAAACAAACAAAAAUUUAACUGUUCAUCUUACUGUCUAUGAAGAUUUUCUAAGAAAUUCACAGAAAAACAUAAGACAAAAGAUUGUCAAUAUCUUAUCCAAAUACAAACCAAACCUGGUGCAUCUCAUCUUUCAUAGUCAGCAGACAGGGCAAACAUAAAGUCUAGCAAAUAUCAUUCAGUCUAUAAGCUUCUUACCAAAAAAUAAAAAAGAUCUCAUCUGCUAAAUCCUGCACACCUGUACACAAUACCAUGAAAAGAGGGAUGAUUUACUGACCUAUGAUAUUGAGGCUUUCAUAAUGGAAGUUUUUUUUUUUUUUUUUGUCUGUUUGUUUUUUGAGACAGUCUCCCUCCAUUGCCCAGGCUGGAGUGCGGUGGUACGGUCUCGGCUCACUGCAACCUCCGCCUCCCAGGUUCAAGUGAUUCUCCUGCCUCAGCCUCCCGAGUAGCUGAGAUUACAGGCGCAUGCCACCAUGCCCGGGUAAUUUUUGUACUUUUAGUAGAGAAGGGGUUUCAUCAUGUUGGCCAGGCUGGCCUCAAACUCCUGACCUCAGGUGAUCUGUCCACCUCAGCCUCCCAAAGUGCUGGGAUUAUAGGCGUGACCCACCAUGCCCGGCCUCAUGAUGGAAGUUUGAGGUCACUUUUCAGUUUCUCCAAAAUGUGCAGAAGCAAUUUAUAAAAAGUUUUUACUUUAUUAUUAUUAUUAUUGAGAUGGAGUCUCGCUCUGUGGCCCAGGCUGGAGUGCAGUGGUGAGAUCUCGGCUCACUGCAACCUCUGCCUCCUGGGUUCAAGCAAUUCUCCUGCCUUGGCCUCCGGAGUAACUGGGAUUACAGGUGCCUGCCACCAUGCCGGGCUAAUUUUUGUAUUUUUAGUAGAGAUGGGGUUUCACCAUGUUGACCAGGCUGGUCUUGAACUCCUGACCUCAGGUGAUCCGCCUGCCUUGGCCUCCCAGAGUGCUGGGAUUACAGGUGUGAGCCACCGUGCCUGGCUACAUUUUUUACUUUAUAUAAAUGGAAGGAGAUAGCUUAGACAUGUGCCUCCAAAAUGCUUCUCAUUGUUGCUAUUCAUAGCAAAGAAGUUAAAAUCUUGACCUGAUGUUAAAUCACAUUCUGAAAGGGCGAGAUAAAAAGAGUGUUCUUUUCUAAUUUGGAAAUACAUUAAGGAUUAAGGAUGAGAAUGGAGAAAGGGAUUACAGUAACACAGAAAUAAGUUCUUUCUCCAAAACCAUCUGAUGAUCUGUGAAGAGGCCCUAAGGAUGAACUGACUGCAUCAGACAUGUUCCAUGCCAUGUGUAGGUUGUGACAGAAUAUUCAUACAGUAAAAUAAAGUGACUUAUAUUUUGGAAAUAAGACUGCUUCAGAGUUAAAAAAAAAAAAAGAGCCACCCGAAAAACAGCCAAAUUAAAUAGAAUUUCCUUAAUUUCUUUACUAAAACUAUAAGUUAUUUUGAAUCCAACUUUGAUUUCACAAGUUUGAAUUAUUUCUGGGCUUUAAAAGCAUUUUCCCUUAGAAAGAAGAGUUAAACUUCUGAUGAUAUCCAAGGUACUUCCAAGCAUUUAAAAAUGACAGACAUUUUAGACAUUGAUAGUCUAUAAGAUAGAUUUAUAUCUUAUGGAUAUAAGAUGCAAAGGGCCUGAUUGAUAAACACAUUGCUGCUCCACCAAAACAAGCCUGUAGACACAAAGUAGAUGGACAUUUUUAGUCCAGGCACGGUGCCUCACUCCUGUAAUCCCAGAACUUUGGGAGGCUGAGGCAGGUGGAUCACCUGAGGUCAGGAGUUCGAGACCAGACUGGCCAACAUGGUGAAACCCCAUCUCUACUAAAAAUACAAAAAUUAGCUGGGCAUGGUGGUGCACGCCUAUAGUCCUAGCUACUUGGGAGGCUGAGGCAGGAGAAUUGCUUGAACCUGGGAGGUAGAGGUUGCAGCGGGCUGAGAUCAUGCCACUGCACUCCAGCCUGGGUAAUAGAGCAAGACUCCAUUAAAAAAAAAACAAAACUAGAUGGACAUUUUUGAAGAGCUAUAAACUGAUUUCUACAAGCCUAAACACCUGCUGUGGCUAGUUAGUAUAAAAUUCUAAGUAUUCCAGGCUCAAAUGUUUUUGUUGAGAGGAUAUUGAGUUUGAUAUCAUCACAUUGGAAUGACAAGAGGAAUCAGUGUAAUACAGGCUUGACAAUGGCAGAACUGCAGGUCUAAGUGGAUCUUACAUUUGAUUGUCUACAGUUUCCCACUAUCUAAAAGAAAUAAAACAUGUCCCAAAGGCUGCAGGCAGUUAGGAGGAGUGUUACCAGAAUAGAAAACAGGAAGAGUCAUAUGAUCUUACUAUGACAUGGGACACAAAGAAACAUGUCACUGACCAGGCGCAGUGGCUCACUGUAAUCCCAGCACUUUGGGAGGCCAAGGCAGGAGGAUUGCUUGAGCCCAGCAGUUCAAGAUCAGCCUAGGCAAUAUAAUGAGACCUCAUCUCUACUAAACAUCCAAAAAAUUAGCUGGGGGUUGUGGCCCAUGCCUGUAGUCCCAGGUACUCAGAUGGCUGAAGUGGAAGGAUUACUUGAGUCUGGGAGGUAGGGGCUGCAGUGAGCCGUGAUCAUGCCACAGCACUUCUGCCUGGGCAACGGAGCAAGACCCUGUCUCAAAACAAAACAAAACAUGUCAUUGCUGUUUUAAAAAAGUUAAAUAUAGGUAAUAUCUGUUUAAUUAGUCCUAUUAUAUUUGUGUUCUCCUUUUACAAAAUAUUUCAUGUAUGUAUCUUAAGAAUACACAGUAAUGGCCGGGCACAGUGGCUCAUGCCUGUAAUCCCAGCACUUUGGGAGGCCAAGGCAGGGGGAUGACAAGGUCAAGAGAUCGAGACCAACCUGGCCAACAUGGUGAAACCCCGUCUAUACUAAAAAUACAAAUAUUAGCUGGGCGUGGUGGCGCGCACCUGUAGUCCCAGCUACUCGAGAGGCUCAGGCAGGAGAAUUGCUUGAACUGGGGAGGCGGAGGUUGCAGUGAGCUGAGAUCGCACCACUAGUGGCACUCCAGCCUGGCGACAGAGUAAGACUUGGUCUCAAAAUAAAAAAGAAUACACAGUAGUAUAGACUAUAGAAUUUAAAUACC